rnacentral:rRNA from 1 species
AGUGAACGCUGGCGGUAGGCCUAACACAUGCAAGUCGAACGGCAGCACAGUAAGAGCUUGCUCUUACGGGUGGCGAGUGGCGGACGGGUGAGGAAUACAUCGGAAUCUACUUUUUCGUGGGGGAUAACGUAGGGAAACUUACGCUAAUACCGCAUACGACCUACGGGUGAAAGCAGGGGAUCUUCGGACCUUGCGCGAUUGAAUGCGCCGAUGUCGGAUUAGCUAGUUGGCGGGGUAAAGGCCCACCAAGGCGACGAUCCGUAGCCGGUCUGAGAGGAUGGUCGGCCGCACUGGAACUGGGACACGGUCCAGACUCCUACGGGAGGCAGCAGUGGGGAAUAUUGGACAAUGGGCGCAAGCCUGAUCCAGCCAUACCGCGUGGGUGAAGAAGGCCUUCGGGUUGUAAAGCCCUUUUGUUGGGAAAGAAAAGCAGCAGGUUAAUACCCCGCUGUUCUGACGGUACCCAAAGAAUAAGCACCGGCUAACUUCGUG